rnacentral:rRNA from 1 species
AGGGUUCGAUUCUGGCUCAGAAUGAACGCUGGCGGCAUGCCUAACACAUGCAAGUCGAACGAAGGCUUCGGCCUUAGUGGCGCACGGGUGCGUAACGCGUGGGAAUCUGCCCCUUGGUUCGGAAUAACAGUUAGAAAUGACUGCUAAUACCGGAUGAUGACGUAAGUCCAAAGAUUUAUCGCCGAGGGAUGAGCCCGCGUAGGAUUAGCUAGUUGGUGUGGUAAGAGCGCACCAAGGCGACGAUCCUUAGCUGGUCUGAGAGGAUGAUCAGCCACACUGGGACUGAGACACGGCCCAGACUCCUACGGGAGGCAGCAGUGGGGAAUAUUGGACAAUGGGCGAAAGCCUGAUCCCAGCAAUGCCGCGUGAGUGAUGAAGGCCUUAGGGUUGUAAAGCUCUUUUACCCGGGAUGAUAAUGACAGUACCGGGAGAAUAAGCUCCGGCUAACUCCGUGCCAGCCGCCGC